rnacentral:tRNA from 1 species
AGCAAAGUAAGCUAAAAGAAGCUGUUGGGCCCAUGCCCCAGGAACGUUGGUUAAAACCCAGCCUUUGUUA